rnacentral:tRNA from 1 species
GAGGAUGUAGCUCAGUGGUAGAGUGCUUGCCUAGCAUGUGCAAGACCAUGGGUUCAAUCCUCCGCAUCAUUG